rnacentral:tRNA from 1 species
GCUUAGCUCAGUUGGUUAGAGCAUUUGGUUUACACCCAAAAUGUCGCUGGUUCGAGUCCGGUAGCG